UCCGAUGUAGUCUAGCUGGUUAGGAUAUCUGGCUUUCACCCAGACGACCCGGGUUCGAGUCCCGGCAUCGGAA
rnacentral:tRNA from 2 species